UCGAGUAGACCAAGGCGCUUGAGAGAACUCUGCUGAAGGAACUAGGCAAAAUGGUACCGUAACUUCGGGAGAAGGUACGCUGUUGUUGGUGAUGGAACUUGCUUCCUGAGCUGACGACAGCCGCAGAAACCAGGCCGCUGCAACUGUUUAUUAAAAACAUAGCACUCUGCAAACACGAAAGUGGACGUAUAGGGUGUGAUGCCUGCCCGGUGCUGGAAGGUUAAUUGAUGGGGUUAGCGUAAGCGAAGCUCUUGAUCGAAGCCCCAGUAAACGGCGGCCGUAACUAUAACGGUCCUAAGGUAGCGAAAUUCCUUGUCGGGUAAGUUCCGACCUGCACGAAUGGCAUAAUGAUGGCGGCGCUGUCUCCAGCAGAGGCUCAGUGAAAUCGAAAUCGCUGUGAAGAUGCAGUGUACCCGCGGCUAGACGGAAAGACCCCGUGAACCUUUACUGCAGCUUGACACUGAACUUUGACCUUACUUGUGUAGGAUAGGUGGGAGGCUUUGAAGCUGGAACGCUAGUUCCAGUGGAGCCGUCCUUGAAAUACCACCCUGGUAAUGUUGAGGUUCUAACUCUGUCCCGUGAUCCGGGACGAGGACCGUGUCUGGUGGGUAGUUUGACUGGGGCGGUCUCCUCCUAAAGAGUAACGGAGGAGUACGAAGGUGCGCUCAGCGUGGUCGGAAAUCACGCGUAGAGUAUAAAGGCAAAAGCGCGCUUAACUGCGAGACCCACAAGUCGAGCAGGUACGAAAGUAGGUCUUAGUGAUCCGGUGGUUCUGUAUGGAAGGGCCAUCGCUCAACGGAUAAAAGGUACUCUGGGGAUAACAGGCUGAUACCGCCCAAGAGUUCAUAUCGACGGCGGUGUUUGGCACCUCGAUGUCGGCUCAUCUCAUCCUGGGGCUGAAGCAGGUCCCAAGGGUAUGGCUGUUCGCCAUUUAAAGAGGUACGCGAGCUGGGUUUAGAACGUCGUGAGACAGUUCGGUCCCUAUCUACCGUGGGCGCUGGAAAUUUGAGAGGAUCUGCUCCUAGUACGAGAGGACCAGAGUGGACGAACCUCUGGUGUACCGGUUGUGACGCCAGUCGCAUCGCCGGGUAGCUAUGUUCGGAAGGGAUAACCGCUGAAAGCAUCUAAGCGGGAAGCCUACCUCAAGAUAAGAUUUCCCUAGGACUUUAUGUCCUCUAAAGAGCCGUUCGAGACUAGGACGUUGAUAGGUUGGAUGUGGAAGCAUAGUGAUAUGUGAAGCUGACCAAUACUAAUUGCUCGUGAGGCUUGACUAU
rnacentral:rRNA from 1 species